CCGGAGGCAGGAGACGGGCUCCGUUCUGCAUCCUCCUGAACCAGUAGAAGACAAUGAAUACAGCGAGGAUGGCAACCAGGACGGCCAUGAGAUCUGAUGAUGCGGAGCUCUUUGAUUGAUCUUCUUCUACAUUCCUCCAACAAGACCAGGUAUGGGGCGUCUCCAUUGACCAACAGCAAAGGCGUCCUCUCUUGCCUCUGUUCUUCUUUGGGAACCGCGGCGAACGAGAUCUUGUACGGACAGGGAGGCACCCCCAAUGGAGCAUGCUAAACGGAGCACAGUCGAAGAACUUUUGAGGACGGGGAACGUUGAUCCAACUUUAUUUUCUUGGAGAAGAACUCAUCAUGUGGAUUCCCUUGGUCGGUGAAUAAGAAAUCUUGAGACGGUGAGCGUUCGUCUAGCAGCUUCUUUAUGAUGUUCCAGCCUGUAAGUUCUUUUUUUAAUUAUUUUUAGUGGGCUAAACUCGGAGCGAUAAGCCCUGCAAUGGCAAUCAACCUUGGUUCAUCUCACACUCAAUUCAUCAUUUUUCUAGCAGUUCACGCAAGCUUCUCGGUGCGAUCCCCACGGUUGCCGCCGUCGUCCCCUCCGGCCGAUCCCGCUCACAUCUUUCUUGCAGCUCCGAACAGAAAAGAUAAAAGAGGAAGGCCUUCUUCCCUCUGAAACCCGGUCAGUCUUCCUCGCUCGAGAACCUCUCCGCCUCGAUCAUGGGGAUUCUGCACGUAUGGCGAACAUUCUCUCUGCCCGGGUUUGACCAGGGCCGCAUUAGCGUCCUGCUUCUGGUAUCAAACUGUUCUUACCAAAGCUUCUUGAACGGGAUAUGGGGAAAAGGAUGGGUUUUCCCUGAAACAGUGUGAAGAAAGGAGCGUUCUCCGUCAGGAUGCCGUCUUUGCCUUAGGCCGAUCUGAGAUUUCCUCCGCGGACGGCCAUGGACCCCCGCCUAG
rnacentral:lncRNA from 1 species